UACGGAGGGGGCUAGCGUUGUUCGGAAUUACUGGGCGUAAAGCGCGCGUUAGGCGGCUUUGUAAGUUAGAGGUGAAAGCCCGGAGCUCAACUCCGGAAUUGCCUUUAAGACUGCAUCGCUAGAAUCAUGGAGAGGUGAGUGGAAUUCCCAGUGUAGCGGUGAAAUGCGUAGAUAUUGGGAGGAACACCAGUGGCGAAGGCGGCUCGCUGGACCGGUUCUGACGCUGAGGCGCGAAAGCGUGGGGAGCAAACGGGG
rnacentral:rRNA from 1 species